ensembl:lncRNA
GCAGAUGUUUUUUCAAUGGAUAAAGAUUAUAGCUAAGAAAUACAAAUGUUUCUGGAACCAAAUAUUUUUUUCUCAAAAGGACAGACAAAUGUGGCUCAUUCAAAUAUGUCAUUCUCUUGAGUGUGUUAGAUGCUUUUGAAAAUUGCCUGUUUUCUGCUGUUAAUGAUCCAGCACAAGCCCUUCCACUGGAGAGACUAAUGGACGGCAGUCAGAACCAAGGCAGAAGGAAAUGUAUGAAAAAUAGAGGAGCUCAGCCAUAAUUUGAGGUGGCGGCUUUGUUUGCUUUUGUCCACUGUGUCCACAACUUGAACAUUAUUUUAAAGGGCAUAUUUGUAUUUAAUUUCUUUUGAGCCUUUUUUUUAAUUGCUGAAGCACUCUCACAGCAUCUUCUCCAAGUGCACCUGAGGUCAUCUUAAACACCGUUUAAUGUCUGUCUGAUGCUGAUCCUUUUAAAAUCUCCAAUGAGAUUAUGAUUCAUUUGUUCUUGCUAGAUGACAAAUGAAUUGUAACAGCCUUAACAAAAAUCUUAUUUUGUUAAGGCUGUAUAAAGGUGCUGCAGCAUGUGAAACCAGCAAGUUGAUUUUUAUUAUUGCAUUACUCUGAAAAAGAAAAAAAACCAACUAAUGAGAUCUUUGUUUCUAGUGUGAAAGGCUCCCCUUAGCUUGAGAGGACACGUGCAAAGCCUCUGCUGUGAAUGCCUCGAUAUAAUCAGCUUACAAAAUGGAGGAAAAUGGUAUUACAGAAAGAUUUCUGAGGGACAUAACUCCAGUGGAGCAGAACAUGCACUUGCUAAAGACUGCUCUCUUGCUCUCUCUCCUCAAGUCAGUGGGAAUUUUUAAUGGGAGUUACUGCAAGGCUGUAUGGUUUUUUAAUGCUCUAGCAGAUGUAAUUUCCCAUCCAGUCAUCUGCACACUUGUGGUUGGUACACCAUAAAGGCUGAAGGCCAAAUCCUGCUGUCACUGCACACAGCCCCUCUGCUUCAUCAGUGAUCAUAAAUAUGUACUUAUAUUACUUGAGGUUUUUGCUGAAGGGAAAUGGGAGAGGGCAGGCCUUCCUUCUGCUCCUUGAUCACAGGCUUUGCAUUCACAAUGAGUUUUAUUAGAAGUAUCAUAUAUUUACAUGCUGCAGAAUGAGGCCUGCGUGGGAUGGGAAAGAUCUUUAUGAUUUUAGACCUGCCUAAGAAAACAACUGUUCUAAUUUUAGACAAGUUGCAUUCCAUAUCCAUCUGUUUAGUGCAUCAGUCUGAUGUUUACUGUUUAGUAAAUUGCAUUUGGGUUUUUUUUUUUUUUUUUUCUUUUGAGGACAUUGCCUGUCAUCAGCCAGUGUAAAAUAGCACCAAGGACUUCCAGACAUACCCAUAGGGCCAAACUGUGACAGCUUCACACACCACAGUCCCAUCAAAAGCAAGGAAAGCUGGACUGGGCACAUGAAAUACAAUCCCCCUGACAUCGAAUUACAUGUCCUGCCUCAUUUCAUAGAGAUGGAUGACACCCUGGGAAAAAAAACCCAAAAAACACAUGCUGCCACUUCAUCCAAGUUUAAAAUGUAUUAAAAUCAAGGAAAUUAUAUUAGACAUGGCUGUAGUCUAUCAAAUCCAGCCCUGUGUAUAGGCAGAACUCCAAGGGAAAGUAACAGGAGUUUCCAUUAUGGAGUUUGCAGAAGGAAGCCUACAUAAUGAACUUGACAAAGUGUCAACUUUGUGUAAACUCUCCUGGUGGGUCUGUAUAAAGGUUUUUUUUAAGAAAUCUUCAUUGGAACACACCAGAGAAUAAUAAACUUGCACCUUGAUAGAAUAGCUUUAUUUGUAUAUACUCUAUGUAAAUUUUAAACCAGAGGAAUACAUGUCAUGCCUUGUACAUACCUGACUAGAAUGGUAGCAGUGCUGUGCACUGCUUUUAGGGGAUCCAGCUUCUCAGUCCUGGAUUUCCAGCUGUAAAGGUUGCAGGAGACUGCUUGGGACCAGCUAAAGCAUUGGAUGGAUAGAUGCUCACCACUCACUGCUUAGAAAUGCAGGAGCAGGAUUUGGAUCAGAUGUUGGCUAUGGAGAAGAUUGCUUGCUUCUACUCUUGGCUAAGGGACAAGUGCCUCCUUUGCUGUGGUCUCCAACAGAAGUGAUUUAUGGUCAGAGUGUGGGAACCUUCAGAGCCCUGUUUGGUCUUUUAAAGGGGUCUGAGAUUCGGGUGUCACAUGGGAAGGUCCCUGAAGAAGCAGUGUGUACAUACAUCUACCUACCUGUCUGUCUGUUAUCUAAUAUCCCACUGUUUCUGUAUUGAAUGGUCUCAGUAACCUGUAAACAAGUGAUCACUCCUGUUGUGCUACUGCUUUGAAAUUCUUUGCAUGCACUCUGGCAUAUAAUUCUUUACGAAAAGAAAUUAUACAUAUUAUAUAUACAUAUAUAUAUAGUAGCUUGCAAAAUAUUCAUGUUGAAGAGCCAUGUUUUGUGCAAAUUGUACAUUUAUGUUGUGAGCAAUAUUGCAAUACGAACUUUUAUUAGUUGUCAAUAGUAGAUUUAUCACAUUAUUUUUGAGCUUAUGUACGUAUCCCAAGUUUUCAGCCUCCGGCAUUAGAUCAGCUACUGAAGGAGACUUUUUCUUUGCAAUAGAAAUAGCACAGGCUUCCAGUAAAUGGGCAGGUGUGCAAGUCCCAUUCUGUUUAAUGCAAGUUGCGAGGCUGAUUCUUCAUGCAGGUUGUCAGGCAAAUAUUCUCUUGUCCGUGCUGGAAUUUGUGUUUGGUAUUAGGACCCUGUUGUGGUCAUCUAGAACAGAACUCAAACCCCAGCAUUGCCAAACAAAGUGCUUGACUCCUACUGCUCUCUGUGUCCGCAGGUGCUCCGGUAUAAACACGAGGAGGACUUAAGGAACUCCCAGUUGCCUGCUGGAUAGCCAAUGUUAUAUUUUCAAAUGUUCAUGCUACAUAGUUUUCAAUGUAGGGGCUAGAUAAAAGUGUAAUACCAGUAUGGCUUUAGAAAAGCUACAGUGUUUGGAGCUUGACCUUGAAACUUUUACCUGAUUCCUGAACAUCAUCGGUGGCUUUGUUUGCUCAAUGUUUACCUCUUGGAAAUGUAUGCUAUUGAUUUAAAUGUUUAAUAUAUUGACUGCCAUUUUUUGUAUAUUUGUUAUCAUAAAGGUUUGGUUCAAAUGCUAACAAUUGUGGUCUAUUUUCAGACUUGAAAUACUUAUGGUUCUGUAUUUGGAAGGCAAAGUUAUUAAUGAAUAUAGCAAUUUGGUAUUUUAUUCCUGUUUUAUACAGCUGCCCCCAUAGGUUAUUAUCAGAUAGCAAUGAAUAUUGCUGAACAGCAGGUGGAACUCCUUUGAGUGUGUUUAUGAGCCAUCUCUGUUCAAUAAAAAUUCCAUUGUUUUCUAGCCUAGGAAAUGGCUGCUGUGAGUGUUUUUGUUGUCUCUUCUCCCCUUAAGGUGAUUCUUGUUGUAUUUCAGACAGCAGCAGGACUGGGCUUCUCCCAGGAUCCAUCUCCCAGAAACCACAUGUUCAGGAUCUUACAUCUGGAAGUCCUGGUGCUGUUUUCCCACAUACACUGCUAUCAAGCAUGCUUGCUGUGCACAUGACGAAGUGAUAUGGAGCUGGUUCCCAAAAACCCUUCUCUAAGUGUUGGUCUGCCAUAAGAUGGGCACAUAAGACCUGGGAAUGGAGCUCCAUGAUGCUUAAAAUUAAGCAUCUGCAAGUGCAUCAUAGCGAGAGAGUUUGGAUGCGGGAAGAUCCAAAAGGCUGAAGUUUGCUCCAUUAUUAUGCAGCAUUACUGCAAGUGUGUACAAAUAAGUUGGAAACGGGUAUCUCAAAGGGAAGUCAGGUGUAAGCAGAGGGACUUGAUUAACCUUGGUGUGAGUGUGAAAAUCAGGUUUUAAAAUUCUUUUUGGUUUUACGCUUUUACUCCUUAAAUUAAUUUCCAGUGUAUUCUGUCUUGUAUGUUUUAGUGGAUUUCAAGUCAAGUUCUUUCUUCAUGUUUAGAAUCUUUCUCCAGAUUUUUAAGGAACAGGUCAGUUCAGGAGGCAAAAGAGGGUGACAUCCUUUCAUGUCUUUUACAUGAGACACCACUCACACCACACUGGGUCACCCAGUUUAUACUGGGUGACUGCCCAGACCAGUGGUGGCUCUCUUGGGUGCCUUUAGGUUUUGCAAACACGGAUGUCCAGGAGCAGACUUUGAAAAGCAGCUCAUCGGGUACCCUGCAGCUAUCCAAAUUCUGCAAGAGAUCUAGGCCCCCUCUUCCCUGCCUCCCCAGUAAGAAAAAAAAAAAAAA